rnacentral:rRNA from 1 species
GUCCACGCCGUAAACGAUGAAUACUAGGUGUGGGGGACGUGACCCCUUCCCGUGCCGCAGUUAACACAAUAAGUAUUCCACCUGGGGAGGUACGACCGCAAGGUUGAAACUCAAAGGAAUUGACGGGGGCCCGCACAAGCAGUGGAUUAUGUGGUUUAAUUCGAAGCAACGCGAAGAACCUUACCAGGGCUUGACAUCCAACUAACGAAGCAGAGAUGCAUUAGGUGCCCUUCGGGGAAAGUUGAGACAGGUGGUGCAUGGUUGUCGU